AGGACAAACGCUGGCGGGGUGCAUGAGACAUGCAAGUCGAACGGGGUGCCAUCGGGCUUGCUCGAUGGUUACCUAGUGGCGGACGGCUGAGUAACGCGUAGGUGACCUACCCGGAAGUGGGGAAUAACUGCCCGAAAGGGUGGCUAAUACCGCAUGUGGUCGGCGAUUCGAUUCGCCGUCCAAAGGAGUAAUCCGCUUCCGGCGGGGCCUGCGUCCGAUUAGCUAGUUGGUGGGGUAACGGCUCACCAAGGCGACGAUCGGUAGCUGGUCUGAGAGGAUGAUCAGCCAGACUGGGACUGAGAACGGCCCAGACUCCUACGGGAGGCAGCAGUCGGGAAUUUGCCCAAUGGACGAAAGUCUGAGGCAGCAACUCCGCGUGAGGAUGAAGGCUCUCGGGUCGUAAACCUCUUUUCUCAGGAAGAUCCAAGACGGUACCUGACGAAUAAGCGACGCUAACUACGUGCUAGCAGCCGC
rnacentral:rRNA from 1 species